rnacentral:lncRNA from 1 species
GUAAGAUGUGCCUUUGCUCCUCUUUCGCCUUCUGCCAUGACUGUGAGGCCUCCCCAGCCGUGUGGAACUCCCCAGUUCCCCAGGACCUUGCAUAUGGCCUGCAGCUCCUCACUGUCCUCGUCGUAGGAGGCCAGCAGGAAGCCCCCGUACCGGCCGGCCCGCUUCCCCCGGCCCAGGACCUGAGGAAGAUCCACCUCACGCCAAUGUGGAGUUGGAAAGAGAGGGACCUUGAAGAUGUCCUUGAAAGAAUCUUAAGGAACCUCAGGGGUCCUCAGACCACACUUUGAGAACUGCUGCCCAAGUGUGGCUUCCUGGCCAUGUGAAGUGGCAGAGUCGGAAAUGGAAGUCAGAGGGGCAGCUGCCAGGCUCACACCCCACCCCGUCACCCCUCAGCUGCCCCUGGACAGGAAGCUGGAACUCACCUCUCCAUUGAGGUAGAUGAGGUCGAAGGCGUACAAACACACCUGCACCUGGAUCUCAGACGCAUCCACCUCCUGGGUUGGGGCACAACGGAGUUCGUGAGUGCAGGAAGGUGAGACGGGGCACUGUGCCUGAGGCCGACAGCAUUCAUCUACCGGUCUCCCUCUCGCCCCACCUAACUGGCUGCCCAUCUGUGAGGGCGGCCAUGCUGCUGGCUCCAGGUGCUGGAUCGUUAACGGCUCUCAGCUAAUUCCGACAACCUCAUUCCCCUUCACCAGAUAUUUGCUCUCCUAGACUUUUCUGCAGCUAAUGGCAGUGACAUGGCACAGUUCUGGCCAAUGAGAUGGAAAAGGGGAAACCUGUGGGGUGCAGGUUGUGGGGUUUUCCAGAACAGAUCUUCUUUCAUAGUAAAACAACAGAGAUGCCCGAAAA